CCUGGGGCCCUGUUCUCACACCCACAUAAAAAGCCAGGGAGCAGCUUUCAGGUCACAGCAAAGUGGAUAAUCCCUGGUCUAUUGGGGAAGCAGGGUUGAUUGGGGCUGGGAGUGGACAGCCAGCUAACCUGAGACCCUGUCAUCUGGGAAAUUCCAUGCUUUAGGACCAUCGGGAGACUGGAAUCCCGAAGACUCAGCAUCCCUGAGAGCCCCCUCGAGGUGAGGCCACAAUAGGAGUGGGGCACUGUCCAGCAGGCGGGAGGUGACAGACCUGCCCCCUCCCCUGCUCGGAUCACAUUUCAGGAGACUGAAGUCAGUUCUAGGCACUGCAUUUUAGGAAGGACAUUGACAAGCGGGAGAAUGUGUGACAGAGGAGGGCAACCCCCCAGGAAUGAGAGAAUCGAAGGUGAGGGGCCGCGGCUGUUGCCUGGAGGGGGAUCCAGGAGUAGCCAGAAUAGGGGAAGCUACAGGGCCAGGCCUGGGUUUGAUACCAGUAAUAACAUCCCAGAAGUGAUCUGAAGAGGCCCAGGCUGCCUUAGGAGGGGUCCAUGACUUCUGCCGAUGGCUCUAAAACAGAGCGAACGCCCCAUCUCCUGGCCCCUUUUAGCCCCCAACAUCAGACUCUCUCACGACUUCGGAGGGGCAUGCCUUUUAUUGCUCGGAUGGGUUCCCCUCGAUGGCCCUCGGCCUCAGCGCGGGUAGGGCGCGUCUAGAGCUCGCAGUACAGAGC